rnacentral:rRNA from 1 species
UUUUUUUAAAAUGAGGAGUCCGGCCUGCCCGGUGAGUAUUAAACGGUUGCAACUAGGUUGUACUAAGGUAGCAAAAUCAGUCGUUUUUUAAUUGAAAAAUAGAAUGAAGGGUUAGACGCGGAGCGUCUGUUUCUAGAAAACUAUAUGAAGUUUUCUUUUAAGUGAAAAGACUUAAGUUUUUGUAAAAGACGAGAAGACCCCGUCGAGUUUAAUUUAGGUAGUAAAUUAUUUUACUCUUAUAAGUUUUGUUGGGGCAACACAAGAUGAAAAUUAUCAUCUUUGGGAUAGAGUAUCUCUUAUGAAGAAAAUAGAUAAAACUACCGCGGGGAUAACAGCGUUAUCUUUUUUGAGAGUUCUUAUUGAUGAAAAGGUUUGCGACCUCGAUGUUGGAUUAAAGAAACUUUAUGGCGCAGCAGCUAUAUAAGUGAGACUGUUCGUCUUUUAAUACUUUACAUGAUCUGAGUUCAGACCGGA